UUAAUUGAAUCCAAAAUUAGAGGAAAAUCACUGUUAAUGAUUAAAUUGAGUUAUAUCUCCAGUUAAA
rnacentral:tRNA from 1 species